rnacentral:rRNA from 1 species
GACGGAGGCUUCCCUCGUUCUCCGUCCUUCUUGGGCGUAAAGCGUCCGUAGGCGGUUUCAAAAGUCUGUUGUUAAAGCCCACAGCUCAACUGUGGAUCGGCAAUGGAAACUGUGAGACUAGAGAGUGGUAGGGGUAGAGGGAAUUCCUAGUGUAGCGGUGAAAUGCGUAGAUAUUAGGAAGAACACCAGUGGCGAAGGCGCUCUACUGGGCCAUUACUGACGCUGAUGGACGAAAGCUAGGGGAGCGAAAGGG